rnacentral:rRNA from 1 species
AAUCAACGCUGGCGGCGUGCCUCAGACAUGCAAGUCGAACGAUUAAAGCUCUCUUCGGAGAGUGUAUAGAGUGGCGCACGGGUGAGUAACACGUAAGUAAUCUACCUUUGAGUGGGGAAUAACAGUCGGAAACGACUGCUAAUACCGCAUAAUGCAGCGGCAUCGCAAGAUGACAGUUGUUAAAGGAGCAAUCCGCUUAAAGAGGAGCUUGCGGCAGAUUAGCUAGUUGGUAAGGUAAUGGCUUACCAAGGCUACGAUCUGUAUCCGGUCUAAGAGGACGGUCGGACACACUGACACUGAAUAACGGGU